GUGCUCGCUUCGGCAGCGCGUAUACUGAAAUUGGAAUGAUACAGAGAAGAUUAGCAUGGCCCCUGCGCAGAGAUGACACGAAAAAAGAGUAAAUAAAUAAAAAUAAAA